UCCAGUAGGUGGCGGUAAUGCACUUUUGCAAAAUGCCAUUACACUUAAAAGAAGACUAAGAAGAAGAGUAAGGCUAUCCCACUAGCAUUGUUUUUAUCGAUAGUUGUGUCAGUCUGCUGACUUCGGCUCCAUCACGGAGGUUCUCUCUGUUUGUGGGCUCAUCUAAAGACCAAAUAAGCACCCUGUAGAUGCUGCUUUGGAUGUUGUGUCAGAGGAGCUGAGCCUGGCGGAUAUACGAAGACUUCUGUAUCCUCAAGAAAGAGACUAUACUUUCUUUUCCCAUCCUCACUUUACUUUCUGGUGUCUCGCUCUCUGCUAAAUAACAAGUCUGGUGGAGAAGCAGAGGAACAAUUUCAGCCCUUUGGAUUCAGCUCAGCCACUAGAGAGGAAACAAUGACUUCAACACAAAAGGACCAACAUGGAGCGAGAAGUCAGCGCUCUCAGGAGGCUGACAAACCUCACAGAAGAAAGGGGCAGAAAAAAUACACCUGUGAUGAGUGUGGGAAGUAUUUUACCCGUCUUGGAAACUUUAAAACACACCAACUCGUCCACAGUGGAGUUAAAGCAUACAGCUGUGACUUGUGUGGAAAGUCUUUUGCCCAG